UACGUAGGGGGCAAGCGUUGUCCGGAUUUAUUGGGCGUAAAGAGUGUGUAGGCGGCCAGACAGGUCCGUUGUGAAAACUGGAGGCUCAACCUCCAGACGUCGAUGGAAACCGUCUGGCUAGAGUCCGGAAGAGGAGAGUGGAAUUCCUGGUGUAGCGGUGAAAUGCGCAGAUAUCAGGAAGAACACCCGUGGCGAAAGCGGCUCUCUGGGACGGUACUGACGCUGAGACGCGAAAGCGUGGGGAGCGAACAGG
rnacentral:rRNA from 1 species